UACAGAGGAGCCAAGCGUUGUCCGGAUUGACUGGGCGUAAAGCGCACGCAGGCGGUUGCGCGCGUUGGGGGUGAAAUCUGGCCGCUUAACGGCCAGGCGCCAUCCCAUACGGCGCGACUGGAGGCUUGCAGAGGUCGGUGGAAUUGCCGGUGUAGUGGUGAAAUGCGUAGAGAUCCGGAGGAACACCAGAGGCGAAAGCGGCGUCCUGGGGUGAGGUUGACGCUCAGACACGAAAGCAUGGGGAGCGAACGGG
rnacentral:rRNA from 1 species